GAAUUCGCCCUUAGAGUUUGAUCCUGGCUCAGGACGAACGCUGGCGGCGCGCCUAACACAUGCAAGUCGAACGGAGCUGAGAGGAGCUUGCUUUUCUUAGCUUAGUGGCGAACGGGUGAGUAACGCGUGAGUAACCUGCCCUGGAGUGGGGGACAACAGUUGGAAACGACUGCUAAUACCGCAUAAGCCCACGGCCCGGCAUCGGGCUGAGGGAAAAGGAUUUAUUCGCUUCAGGAUGGACUCGCGUCCAAUUAGCUAGUUGGUGAGGUAACGGCCCACCAAGGCGACGAUUGGUAGCCGGACUGAGAGGUUGAACGGCCACAUUGGGACUGAGACACGGCCCAGACUCCUACGGGAGGCAGCAGUGGGGGAUAUUGCACAAUGGGGGAAACCCUGAUGCAGCGACGCCGCGUGGAGGAAGAAGGUUUUCGGAUUGUAAACUCCUGUCGUUAGGGACGAUAAUGACGGUACCUAACAAGAAAGCACCGGCUAACUACGUGCCAGCAGCCGCGGUAAAACGUAGGGUGCAAGCGUUGUCCGGAAUUACUGGGUGUAAAGGGAGCGCAGGCGGGAAGACAAGUUGGAAGUGAAAUCUAUGGGCUCAACCCAUAAACUGCUUUCAAAACUGUUUUUCUUGAGUAGUGCAGAGGUAGGCGGAAUUCCCGGUGUAGCGGUGGAAUGCGUAGAUAUCGGGAGGAACACCAGUGGCGAAGGCGGCCUACUGGGCACCAACUGACGCUGAGGCUCGAAAGUGUGGGUAGCAAACAGGAUUAGAUACCCUGGUAGUCCACACCGUAAACGAUGAUUACUAGGUGUUGGAGGAUUGACCCCUUCAGUGCCGCAGUUAACACAAUAAGUAAUCCACCUGGGGAGUACGACCGCAAGGUUGAAACUCAAAGGAAUUGACGGGGGCCCGCACAAGCAGUGGAGUAUGUGGUUUAAUUCGACGCAACGCGAAGAACCUUACCAAGUCUUGACAUCCCUUGACGAACAUAGAAAUAUGUUUUCUCUUCGGAGCAAGGAGACAGGUGGUGCAUGGUUGUCGUCAGCUCGUGUCGUGAGAUGUUGGGUUAAGUCCCGCAACGAGCGCAACCCUUACUGUCAGUUACUACGCAAGAGGACUCUGGCAGGACUGCCGUUGACAAAACGGAGGAAGGUGGGGAUGACGUCAAAUCAUCAUGCCCUUUAUGACUUGGGCUACACACGUACUACAAUGGCGUUAAACAAAGAGAAGCAAGACCGCGAGGUGGAGCAAAACUCAGAAACAACGUCCCAGUUCGGACUGCAGGCUGCAACUCGCCUGCACGAAGUCGGAAUUGCUAGUAAUCGUGGAUCAGCAUGCCACGGUGAAUACGUUCCCGGGCCUUGCACUCACCGCCCGUCA
rnacentral:rRNA from 1 species